ACGCACGCUGGCGGCGUGCCUAAUACAUGCAAGUAGCACGCUGAAGAGAGGAGCUUGCUCUUCUUGGAUGAGUUGCGAACGGGUGAGUAACGCGUAGGUAACCUGCCUUGUAGCGGGGGAUAACUAUUGGAAACGAUAGCUAAUACCGCAUAACAAUAGGUGACACAUGUCAUUUAUUUGAAAGGGGCAAUUGCUCCACUACAAGAUGGACCUGCGUUGUAUUAGCUAGUAGGUGAGGUAACGGCUCACCUAGGCGACGAUACAUAGCCGACCUGAGAGGGUGAUCGGCCACACUGGGACUGAGACACGGCCCAGACUCCUACGGGAGGCAGCAGUAGGGAAUCUUCGGCAAUGGGGGCAACCCUGACCGAGCAACGCCGCGUGAGUGAAGAAGGUUUUCGGAUCGUAAAGCUCUGUUGUAAGUCAAGAACGAGUGUGAGAGUGGAAAGUUCACACUGUGACGGUAGCUUACCAGAAAGGGACGGCUAACUACGUG
rnacentral:rRNA from 1 species